rnacentral:rRNA from 1 species
AUUGAACGCUGGCUGCAGGCUUAACACAUGCAAGUCGAGCGAGCGGCGGACGGGUGAGUAAUGUCUGGGAAACUGCCUGAUGGAGGGGGUUAACUACUGGAAACGGUAGCUAAUACCGCAUACCAUCAGAUGUGCCCCGAUGGGAUUAGCUAGUAGGUGGGGUAAUGGCGCACCUAGGCGACGAUCCCUAGCUGGUCUGAGAGGAUGACCAGCCACACUGGAACUGAGAGACGGGCCAGACUCCUACGGGAGGCAGCAGUGGAGAAUAUUGAACAAAGGGCGCAAGCCUGAUACAGCCAUGCCGCGUGUUUGAAGAAGGCAUUCGGGAUGUAAAGCACUUUCAGCGAGGAGGCGUUACUCGCAGAAGAAGCACCGGCUAACUCCGUGCCAGCAGCCGCGGUAAUUC